UACGUAGGUGGCAAGCGUUGUCCGGAUUUACUGGGCGUAAAGAGCGCGCAGGCGGUCGUACAAGUCGCGUGUGAAAGCCCCCGGCUCAACUGGGGAGGGUCACGCGAUACUGUUCGACUCGAAGGCAGGAGAGGGAAGCAGAAUUCCCGGUGUAGUGGUGAAAUGCGUAGAUAUCGGGGAGGAAUACCAGUGGCGAAGGCGGCUUCCUGGCCUGUUCUUGACGCUGAGGCGCGAAAGCUAGGGUAGCAAACGGG
rnacentral:rRNA from 1 species